rnacentral:rRNA from 1 species
AUGGAGGUUGUCAUGUCUGCAGUUGCAGGUGAAUUUGUGAGCAAGUUCAUCUCAUUUCUGAUGAACAAGUACAACUCCUCUAGGCAUCCUCAAUCAGAGGAGGAGAAGGUGGUGGAGAGGUUGCAGCACCUGCUAAUGAGAGCUGGUACAAUGGUUGAGGAGGCAGACACGAGGUACAUAACCAACUCCGGAAUGAUGAUGCAGCUCAAGACGCUCUCAGAGGCCAUGUAUAGAGGAUAUGGUGUGCUGGACAACUCGAGGUACCGUGACCUCCAAGACACCGCAGGCUUCGACGAGGUUAGCAUCAACCACUCAUCUGCAAGCAGCUUAUAUUUACCCAAGCGCUCUCGAACAACAAAUGAUAAGGUUACACGCCUCGAGUCACAUGGUGCGUUGGAAAGUCUAGAAAUUGUUGUUGCUAACAUGGCAGAAUUUAUUGUUCUUCUUGGUGGAUGUGAGCGCAUGUCUCGUAUGCCAUAUGAUGUUUAUCUUUACACCGAAAACUUCAUGUUCGGCCGACACGCUGAGAAGCAAAAGCUCUUCAGCUUCUUGUUGCAACACAACGACCCUCCUAGUGAUCAUGCACUGGCAGUUCUCCCGAUCAUAGGUGGUGUAACAACUGGGAAGAAAACUUUGGUUGCCCAUGUGUGCGGCGAUGAAAGGGUCCGUUCACGCUUCCCAUCUGUAUUGCACUUGAAUGGAGGCAGCCUUUUGAAAAUAUGUGAGCACAGAAGGACUAUGGAAGGUAUGAUGUUGGUAGUUAUUGAGUUUGCUUUUGAUGUAGAUGACGAUCACUGGAAAAAGUUUCACUCGUUUUUCAUAAGAAUGGAUAGAGGAAGCAAGAUCAUCAUCAUAAGUAAACUUAAAAGAUUAGCCCGGUUUGGAUCGGUGAAACCAAUUUUCCUUACUGCUCUGUCUUAUGAUGCGUUGAGGUACCUUUUCAAGACACUGGCAUUCGGAAGCGUAGAACCUACAGAACAUCCGCGACUACUACAGAUAGCAGAUGAAUUUGCCAAGUUAAUGCACAGUGCGGAUGGUUCAUUUGUCUCAGCAAAUGUGUACGCAGACAUAUUGAGAAAGAAUCUCGAUGUUCAGUUUUGGCGUUGCAUAUUGGACAAGGUGAUGAGAUAUGUUAAAAGAAACCUCGCCCGAUUUAGUGUGGACCCAGCCAUACAUGUAGAACAAGGCCCUCCAGUGGUUGUAACGGCUAUAGAACAAGGCCAUCCAGUGGUGAUAACAGACCUUGCUUUGGAUCCACUUUGCAUAAUACCUUAUACAAAUAAUGUUUCAAUCAAGGAACUGCCAAGUGUGACGUUUGGGGAACUUCUAACAGACCCUACUGUUAGACCAAACGGAGACUUUAAUCUAAUUUCAUGGAAAUCAAGGAUACCGCCUUAG